GGGGAUGUAGCUCAGUUGGCUAGAGCGCAUGACUGGCAGUCAUGAGGCCGCGGGGUCGACUCCCGCCUUCUCCA
rnacentral:tRNA from 1 species